ACGUAUGACUAUGGAUUUACAUGUCGAGUCUGUCUCUUAUGUGCAUCUACAAAGUCAUCGUCACCUCUGGAUGUGAUAUGACGGUAGAAGAUGGUGCGUGGUCAGGUCGGAUCAGAACUGUUGUAGCAACGGAGUCCUGAUUUCAUAGCCCUGACUGAAAGGAGGAACGAGAGAGAAGUCCCUUGCCAACUCAGCGAAUUUCAGCUUAGGCAGCUGCACGCUCAUUGCUAGAGCUCCCCAGGCAGUUUCAUCUCACCAUCAGGCUGUUGCCUUUGGUAAGCACCGAGCUGUCCUGUGGCCGUGCAGGUCCUGCUGGCUGAGGCUGUAUUUCAGCGAGACGGCUGCAGCGCUAUCUGCCCAGAAAUUUAGGACUCCUUGAAAGUUUUAAACAGGAAUGAAAAGAGAAUGAAAAGUAGAGCAAAUAUGAAGAAAACAGAUUAGAAGUAAAUAAGAGAAGCAGCCCUCCUUCGUCCUUCCAUUCUCCUUCCUGCUAGCCAUUCUCCCUCUCCAAAGGAAAGAGGAGUCAGCAGUAACAGCAAUAUACGCGCAUGAAAAAAUCUGUUGUAAAUUGUGACCUCUUGGUGGAUGGAUGUACAGACUGAGCUGUGAGAGAGGAGGUGUUCAGACAGCAGCGUUCCCAUGUGCUGCACACCGGACCAAUGCCUGCAGCUCUAAUCAUAAUACUUGGAAGUGAGAGCAAGAAGGAGAGGACUUGGCACUUAAGGAGUCUGGAGCUGUCCAAGAUCUUUACAAACACAACACAGUUAACCCUUGCAAGAGAGAGGAACACUACUCAUCUGCAUGGAAAGGAGCUUGUGCUGCAGGCAAAAGGCACUGGCACUCCAAAGAGCAGAGGGCCUGCUUGGUGUUUUGUCUGUGCCUUCCAUGACAGCAGCACGUUGUGCAGAGGAGACUUGAGAUGGGACAAGAAACACGUGGCGUGCCAGUUGGAACCUCUGUGAGCAGCAGCUGCUGGAGCACGACUGAGCCCCAGAAGAUGUGAACGGGAUCCCAGAGCACGCAGAGACAAUGGGGUGACACAGCCCUCGGGUGACAGCUAUGACAGCGGCGCUGCCCCAUCGCUGUGAUGCUGAGGUCCGGGCUGCAGGGUGAGGUCCCGGCCCGGGGG